UCCGGUGGCGAUAGCGGAGGGGAAACACCCGUUCCCAUUCCGAACACGGAAGUUAAGCCCUCCAGCGCCGAUGGUACUGCAUAAGCGGAAGAGUAGGUCGCUGCCGGAA
rnacentral:rRNA from 1 species